UACGUAGGGAGCGAGCGUUAUCCGGAAUUAUUGGGCGUAAAGGGUGCGCAGAUGGCACAUUAAGUUUCUUGUAAAAAUGCUAGGCUCAACCUAGUAGGGCAAGAGAUACUGAUGAGCUAGAGUACGAGAGAGGCAAGUGGAAUUCCAUGUGUAGCGGUAAAAUGCGUAAAUAUAUGGCAGAACACCAGUGGCGAAGGCGGCUUGCUAGCUCGAUACUGACAUUGAGGCACGAAAGCGUGGGGAGC
rnacentral:rRNA from 1 species